GUACACGCUGUGACUAGCAUAUCAAUAAGCGGAGGAAAAGAAACUAACAAGGAUUCCCCUAGUAACGGCGAGUGAAGCGGGAAGAGCUCAAAUUUGAAAUCUUAAAGGGUUUCCCUUUACGAAUUGUAGUUUAAAGAAGUGUUUUCUGUUGAGGUUUGGUAAAAGUUCUUUGGAAUAGGACAUCAUAGAGGGUGAGAAUCCCGUAUUUGACCUUUACUUUCAACUUUGUGAUACACUUUCAAAGAGUCGGAUUGUUUGGAAUGCAGUCCAAAAUGGGUGGUAAAUUUCAUCUAAAGCUAAAUAUUGGCGAGAGACCGAUAGCGAACAAGUACCGUGAGGGAAAGAUGAAAAGAACUUUGAAAAGAGAGUUAAACAGUACGUGAAAUUGUCAAAAGGGAAGCGUUUGACACCAGUGUUGUUUUUCUGAAAAUCAAUUAAAGAACUGUUUAUGCUAAGCUGUUUAGACUUUAUCAGCUAUCUGUUUAGUUUUAGGCUUUUCUUUAAUGCACUUUUCAGUUAACAAGUCAACAUCAAUUUCUUUUGCUGUAAAAAAGCUUGAGGAAGGUGGCUUGAGAUUCGUCUUAAGUGUUUAUAGCCUCUUGCCUAUGCAGUCGGAGAGAUUGAGGUCUGCAGCGUAGAUCCUUCGGGGCUAAAUGCAUUUGUGCUAAGUUAUAGCAUUUUAUAGACAACUUGUUGACUAUGAUUUGUCUUGUAGCUUACUCGCUUAUGUUAUUUUACCUACGCUUAGGAUGUUGAGUCGUAGAGCACGCAG
rnacentral:rRNA from 1 species